CACCGCGUAGCUCAGUUGGAAGAGCAUUGGGCUAGCAUUCCAAAGGUCGUAGGUUCGAAUCCCACCGUGGCCG
rnacentral:tRNA from 1 species